rfam:Ovis aries breed Texel chromosome 4, whole genome shotgun sequence.
UCCCUCGUAGCUCAGCUGGUAAAGAGUCCGCCUGCCAUGCAGGAGACCCAGGUUCGAGUCCUGGGUGGGGAA